rnacentral:rRNA from 1 species
GAUGAACGCUGGCGGCGUGCCUAAUACAUGCAAGUCGAGCGAAUGGAUUAAGAGCUUGCUCUUAUGAAGUUAGCGGCGGACGGGUGAGUAACACGUGGGUAACCUGCCCAUAAGACUGGGAUAACUCCGGGAAACCGGGGCUAAUACCGGAUAACAUUUUGAACCGCAUGGUUCGAAAUUGAAAGGCGGCUUCGGCUGUCACUUAUGGAUGGACCCGCGUCGCAUUAGCUAGUUGGUGAGGUAACGGCUCACCAAGGCAACGAUGCGUAGCCGACCUGAGAGGGGGGUCGGCCACACUGGGACUGAGACACGGCCCAGACUCCUACGGGAGGCAGCAGUUGGGAAUCUUCCGCAAUGGACGAAAGUCUGACGGAGCAACGCCGCGUGAGUGAUGAAGGCUUUCGGGUCGUAAAACUCUGUUGUUAGGGAAGAACAAGUGCUAGUUGAAUAAGCUGGCACCUUGACGGUACCUAACCAGAAAGCCACGGCUAACUACGUGCCAGCCGCCGCGAUAA